rnacentral:misc_RNA from 1 species
CUUGUUUUUCACUCUCGUUUCAUAGCUUGUUCUUUAGCUGCCCAAUUUCAGAAAACGAACUCGGCUCACUGAAUCAAUAGCAGCAAAGUAGCAACCAAUCUUUAUUAUUUAGAAUUGGUCUCGAGAGAUGAAGGAAGAAGAGGCAGGACCACAAAAGAGAGAGCUUUACGCGGUGCUGCAAGUGUCGCCCGAGGCCACCAAUGAAGAAAUCAGAAAGGCUUAUCGCCAUUGGGCUCAAGUCUACCACCCUG